rnacentral:lncRNA from 1 species
CUUAUUUUGAUGUAAAGUUUAGAACAGAAUUGAAAACAUGUUUCAUUGACAAACUUUAAUGAGCAAUCAUAGUCACUUUAACUUUAAGAGUUACAUAUAUAUAUAAAAUAGGCUGAAUUUAUCAUGGGGAUAUUGAACCUCAUGCAUUGAAGAGAAACUGUCCGCGCUUCGAAAAAUAACGAAAAGACGAACAACAAUUCUAAAACACAACAUAGAAAAUUCAAGAAUGAGCAAGCAACACAAACACAAUCUAAAUAGUAGGGGUGAUCUAAUGUGCGACUUCAGGAUAAUAAUCAUCUGCUCCAUGGUCUAAGUUUCGUUCAUUGAUAUUGAAUUUGAAGAAAAGAUGGCGGAAUUGUGAAUACGACAAUUAUAUUUAUUCGUAGGUAUCUGUGAAACUGAUAUUCAUUAUCAGUCAAUCAACUCAUAAUUGCGAUCGUAAUUUUGUUUUAAGGGAUGCCAUCAACCAUUUUUAUAGAUUUAUUAGCUCUUCAACUUCGUACAUUAUUUGGCCUUUUGACUUUUUGAUUCAAGUGUCACUGGUGAGUCUUUUGUAGACGAAACGUGCGUCUGGCGAAAUACAAAAUUUCAAUCCAGGUAUCUAUGAUGAGUUUAUGAGUGGAAAUGAUUUUUUUAACAUUUUGAGAUCACCACAUAAUGUAUUGAGAGAAAAGUAGAACGGGCUUGAGUCGUGUAUAUAAUAUUGUUUCAGAUUUUUUUCAUCCAUCUAUACCAGAAAGAAGUAAUAAUUAAAUUUUACAUAAACAUACAAUUUGUAUUUUUUGAAAUUUAUGUUACAUUGUUUAUUUGCACAAAAC